rnacentral:rRNA from 1 species
CUGGCUCAGAUUGAACGCUGGCGGCAUGCUUUACACAUGCAAGUCGGACGGCAGCACAGAGAAGCUUGCUUCUUGGGUGGCGAGUGGCGAACGGGUGAGUAACAUAUCGGAACGUACCGAGUAGUGGGGGAUAACUAAUCGAAAGAUUAGCUAAUACCGCAUACGUCUUGAGAGAGAAAGCAGGGGAUCUUCGGACCUUGCGCUAUUCGAGCGGCCGAUAUCUGAUUAGCUAGUUGGUGGGGUAAAGGCCUACCAAGGCGACGAUCAGUAGCGGGUCUGAGAGGAUGAUCCGCCACACUGGGACUGAGACACGGCCCAGACUCCUACGGGAGGCAGCAGUGGGGAAUUUUGGACAAUGGGCGCAAGCCUGAUCCAGCCAUGCCGCGUGUCUGAAGAAGGCCUUCGGGUUGUAAAGGACUUUUGUCAGGGAAGAAAAGGUUGGUGCUAAUAUCACUGACUGAUGACGGUACCUGAAGAAUAAGCACCGGCUAACUACGUGCCAGCAGCCGCGGUAAUACGUAGGGUGCGAGCGUUAAUCGGAAUUACUGGGCGUAAAGCGAGCGCAGACGGUUUGUUAAGCAGGAUGUGAAAUCCCCGGGCUCAACCUGGGAACUGCGUUCUGAACUGGCAAGCUAGAGUGUGUCAGAGGGGGGUAGAAUUCCACGUGUAGCAGUGAAAUGCGUAGAGAUGUGGAGGAAUACCGAUGGCGAAGGCAGCCCCCUGGGAUAACACUGACGUUCAUGCUCGAAAGCGUGGGUAGCAAACAGGAUUAGAUACCCUGGUAGUCCACGCCCUAAACGAUGUCAAUUAGCUGUUGGGCAACUUGAUUGCUUAGUAGCGUAGCUAACGCGUGAAAUUGACCGCCUGGGGAGUACGGUCGCAAGAUUAAAACUCAAAGGAAUUGACGGGGACCCGCACAAGCGGGUGGAUGAUGUGGAUUAAUUCGAUGCAACGCGAAGAACCUUACCUGGUCUUGACAUGUACGGAAUCCUCCAGAGACGGAGGAGUGCCUUCGGGAGCCGUAACACAGGUGCUGCAUGGCUGUCGUCAGCUCGUGUCGUGAGAUGUUGGGUUAAGUCCCGCAACGAGCGCAACCCUUGUCAUUAGUUGCCAUCAUUAAGUUGGGCACUCUAAUGAGACUGCCGGUGACAAGCCGGAGGAAGGUGGGGAUGACGUCAAGUCCUCAUGGCCCUUAUGACCAGGGCUUCACACGUCAUACAAUGGUCGGUACAGAGGGUAGCCAAGCCGCGAGGUGGAGCCAAUCUCACAAAACCGAUCGUAGUCCGGAUUGCACUCUGCAACUCGAGUGCAUGAAGUCGGAAUCGCUAGUAAUCGCAGGUCAGCAUACUGCGGUGAAUACGUUCCCGGGUCUUGUACACACCGCCCGUCACACCAUGGGAGUGGGGGAUACCAGAAGUAGGUAGGAUAACCUUCGGGAGUCCGCUACCACGG